UACGAAGGGGGCUAGCGUUGCUCGGAAUCACUGGGCGUAAAGCGCACGUAGGCGGGUUCUUAAGUCAGGGGUGAAAUCCUGGAGCUCAACUCCAGAACUGCCUUUGAUACUGGGAAUCUCGAGUCCGGGAGAGGUGAGUGGAACUGCGAGUGUAGAGGUGAAAUUCGUAGAUAUUCGGAGGAACACCAGUGGCGAAGGCGGGUCUCUGGGCCGUAACUGACGCUGAGGAGCGAAAGCGUGGGGAGCGAACAGG
rnacentral:rRNA from 1 species